UGGGGAAAAUUGCGCAAUGGGGGAAACCCUGACGCAGCGACGCCGCGUGCGGGAUGAAGGCCUUCGGGUUGUAAACCGCUUUUGAUUGGGAGCAAGCUUUCGGGUGAGUGUACCUUUCGAAUAAGCGCCGGCUAACUACGUGCCAGCAGCCGCGGUAAUACGUAGGGCGCAAGCGUUAUCCGGAAUUAUUGGGCGUAAAGAGCUUGUAGGCGGUUCGUCGCGUCUGGUGUGAAAGCCCAUCGCUUAACGGGGGGUUGGCGCCGGGUACGGGCGAGCUAGAGUGCAGUAGGGGAGACUGGAAGUCUCGGUGUAACGGUGGAAUGUGUAGAUAUCGGGAAGAACACCAAUGGCGAAGGCAGGUCUCUGGGCUGUUACUGACGCUGAGAAGCGAAAGCGUGGGGAGCGAACAGG
rnacentral:rRNA from 1 species